GACGAACGCUGGCGGCGUGCUUAACACAUGCAAGUCGAACGGUAAGGCUCCAGCUUGCUGGGGUACACGAGUGGCGAACGGGUGAGUAACACGUGGGUGACCUGCCCUGCACUUCGGGAUAAGCCUGGGAAACUGGGUCUAAUACCGGAUAGGACCGCGCCGUGAGGGUGUGGUGGAAAGUUUUUUCGGUGUGGGAUGGGCCCGCGGCCUAUCAGCUUGUUGGUGGGGUAAUGGCCUACCAAGGCGGCGACGGGUAGCCGGCCUGAGAGGGUGGACGGCCACAUUGGGACUGAGACACGGCCCAGACUCCUACGGGAGGCAGCAGUGGGGAAUAUUGCACAAUGGGCGGAAGCCUGAUGCAGCGACGCCGCGUGGGGGAUGACGGCCUUCGGGUUGUAAACUCCUUUCACCAUCGACGAAGGGUUUCUGACGGUAGAUGGAGAAGAAGCACCGGCUAACUACGUGCCAGCAGCCGCGGUAAUACGUAGGGUGCGAGCGUUGUCCGGAAUUACUGGGCGUAAAGAGCUCGUAGGUGGUUUGUCGCGUCGUCUGUGAAAUUCCGGGGCUUAACUCCGGGCGUGCAGGCGAUACGGGCAUAACUUGAGUACUGUAGGGGAGACUGGAAUUCCUGGUGUAGCGGUGAAAUGCGCAGAUAUCAGGAGGAACACCGGUGGCGAAGGCGGGUCUCUGGGCAGUAACUGACGCUGAGGAGCGAAAGCAUGGGGAGCGAACAGG
rnacentral:rRNA from 1 species